GCCCUGUACUUUUAAAUUUUUUUUCUUUAAAUAUUUUGUUCAAUUUUUCCCCUGCUGCCUCAAUCCCAUCAGGCUCCAGUGGUGCUUAGAUGGGCCAGAGAGCAGCUGACAUGCAGGGAUAGCUUGAGUCUGUGUUCUUGGGGGAGCCAAGAAGGGGAGCCAAGGUGGUUGCAUGCAAGGAAUUAGCCAUGAAUGGCAUGGACUGAUGGUUGGAAGAGCCGGUAUCUGUGGCUGUGAACUGACAUUUUCAAGCUGAGACC
rnacentral:snoRNA from 1 species